CAUUCAAUCAUGUUUUUUUUUUUUUUUUUCAUUUCACUUCAGAUCUUUUCUAGUCUUGUUUGGCAACUAGAUCAAUCAUACUCGUGUUUCAGCUUGGUUUGGUUUUAAAAUUUCAAAUUAAAUUAUUGUUAGUUGUAUAAUACUAUAGUUAUCCAUUUGACCAAAAAUAUACUAUAGUUAAUUAUCUCAAAUGGCACUUGACAUAAAUUAAUUAAGGAUGACAAUACCAUAAUUACCAUAAUGGGAUCUCGCUGGAAACCUGUAUGCUUUUUACUUUAUUUUUAUUUUUUUACCAUGUUGUCUUAAUAUAUUAUCUAAAGUAAUAAAAUAUUUCAAAGAAUGAGAUACUUUCCCUAUCAAAAACACUGAUACCCUUCGUUCCGAUUCCUCUGCUGCUCCUCUCUUAGCUUUCUCCCGAUCAAGAAGAUCCUCCUUCUCCGGUCCGGCACCGGCGUGCCGGUGCCGGAGGUUUAAUCCUUUAACCCUUCCUCUCCUUUUCCUUUUGCCUUUCUCCCCAUCGGUUUUAACCCUGUCGAGAUGCUCGUGACUCUGAGCCUGGCUGAGUCUCACCGGAAACUGUAGAGGUUGAAGGUGGCUUCAUAUGGUGGUGUUGGAGGAACGGCGAGACAGUGGAACGACAGAUGCGGUUUGUGGUGUAGGUUUGGUUCUGUUCAUCAUUGUAUGGACUUGUUUGGGUUGUCUCUCUAGCUCCGAAUCUGUUUUCUGGUGCGCGGUGCAGGACUAAGCCGGCUCUGAUGUGGGUUGUUACUUCUUCCAUCGGAUUUGGAGAGACGUGUCUUAGGCAGGUCAAUGGUGGUUAUGGAUGCUCGAUCUUGUUUUCUAUUUCCUUUGGCAGUUGGUAUUGAAGGUCUGGUCUUGAAUUGAGUUCAGAGUUCUUUGAAUUUCUGGUGAAAGAGUGGUCUGUGGCUGUGUUUGAAGAGUCCUUGAUGAGGGCUUUUAGCUAUGGAGUGUGUUCAUAUUGGGGCUUGUCCUCGAUACGGUGGCCUCUUUUGACCCUUGAGUUUGAUUGUUUAGUGUGGUCAUUGCGAAGCUUCGGUGCUGUGUGGAUGUGAUGUUCUUUGAUAUUUAACCGACGGGUUUAUCCGGAUUUUAUGGGAAGGGACUUUGGAGCUUAUACUCUUUCGCGUGGGGUCAUUGAGCUGACGAUUGUCAACCUAGUUUCUUCAUUGACUGCUCGGGUGGAGAUCCGUUUUCUUGUGGCUUCUUUAGGAUGAAGCUUGCUCUUAAGUGACGGUUGCUGGCGGGUCCUCAGGUGUUGGUCCUCAAGCCUUGCUCUCAUCCCAAAUAAAUUUGACAUCCAACGCUUUUUCAUUUAUUCUAGCAUCCGGCUCCAGCUAGCUUCUCUUCUUGACGAUUAUGUGUGAACACUAGAAGUUUUUAAGACUCUUUCUCAUUUUUUUUAAGUUUAUGUAAUCGAUUUCAGCUUCUUUAUUGGUUCUGGGGGCUUUGUUUA